UGCAACUUGAACAGUCGCCAUUUCAGAACUCAAGUCUUAAAAUGUUGGAGACCGAUACUAACAAUUAGUACUGCAAGUUCUGGCCUGCGUCCGUUCGCUGCCAGGAAGCAACAGGUGUGAUGUAGGCAUCGGUCCAGCUUCUGCGAUGUGCCAUGUACAAGGAAACCUUUCCUAACCUCCUCAAACACACCGCAGCCCAGAGAAAGCAGAUUGGGGAGG